rnacentral:sRNA from 1 species
UUUCCUAUGUUCUUUUCCACAUCUAACCAGUCACUAAUUGUCUUGACUUUUAUUCCACUUUUCUUUCAGGGCCUUAGCAUCUGGAUCUCCCCGUUUUCUGUUUCCAGUCUGGAAAACAUGAUAUAGUCAAAUCAGCUUUGUCUUAGGAUCAGCCAGACCUGGAUUCAAAUUCUGUCACCUCUACCCUCUAGCUAUGUGAUCUUGGCCAAGUUAUUAAUCUUUUUGAAUCUCUGUUUUCACAUCUUCAAAUGAGAUUCCCAGUGCCUACAGUAAUGGCUGUGUUGAGACCACUGGAGCGAUCCAGUGAAGAUGUGGAUAUAAUCUUCACUCGACUGAAAGAAGUUAAAGCUUUUGAGAAAUUUCACCCAAAUCUCCUUCAUCAGAUUUGCUUAUGUGGUUAUUAUGAGAAUCUGGAAAAGGGAAUAACAUUAUUUCGCCAGGGUGAUAUUGGAACAAACUGGUAUGCUGUCCUGGCAGGGUCUUUGGAUGUUAAAGUAUCUGAGACCAGCAGUCACCAGGAUGCUGUGACCAUCUGUACCCUGGGAAUUGGGACGGCCUUUGGAGAGUCCAUUCUGGACAACACACCCCGCCAUGCAACCAUCGUUACCAGGGAGAGCAGUGAACUGCUCCGCAUCGAGCAGAAGGACUUCAAGGCACUAUGGGAGGUGAGCCCUAAGGCUUCUUUGUCAAUUAAUGCAGUUUCAGAAAAGAAAGGGAGCUGCCACAUGGAUAAUGGCAUUACAGUCAAGCCUUAAUGUGUUCUGUUCUGAGCUGGUAGAUGGAAUUUAAUUUUCAAAACUUGUUUUUGAAAUGAGUGAGUGAAAAAGCCAUUUUGACACAAGACAUCCUUUUUUUUGUUUAAUUUAGUGCUUGCUCAAUUUUCUGUAGUUUGACAUACCUUAUAAUUAUUUAUUGAAUGACCAUAGAGUGUUUUAUGUAUUUUCUCCCUUCUUUUCCACAGAUGUAUUCUUAACCAGGGA